CCCUCUCCUUCCUCGCCGCUUCCCCAGGCACUCUCCCGGCGGCGGCAGCUGCGCCGCCAAAGCCCCGGGCCCCAGCGGCCCCCCACCCCUCACUCGCGCGCUCCCACACUGCCUCCCCCCUCCCCGGGGGAAGGCCUUUUAAUUUAUUUAUUCUGCUGGGACUUAGGUGGGGGGCUUGGCGGCGGGGGAGGGGGGGUCUCCCCGGCCUCUACCUCCCGCGGCAGGGGCUACCCUCCGAGCCGCGGCUUGCGCCUCGGGCCUCAAAAACUGUUUCCAAACUGCCAAGACCGGAGGUCCGGGAGUGGCGGCGGCCAAUCAGCGCGCGGCUUCCAUUUUGUGAGUUCAACUCCGAGGCUCUCGGGCUUCGCGAGGACGCGUUUGCAGCCCCCUCUACCUCUCCAGUCUGGCGGCCGAGGAGAGGGAGCCGCCUCGCUGGGGCUUCGUGAGCAGUAAACAGUCCUCAGCGAAGCCGCCUUUUGCCAACCCAACCCUGGAAAGUUUGCAGAAGUGGAAGGAGCAGAAAAUGCCAUGAGAGUGUAACUUUAAAAAGCUUGAUCUUCCAGACUCCAUGGCACCGGGCUGAGCGGGCUCGUGACGGGAGAAGGGGCCCGGUACCCCCAUAGUGGACCGCCCUCCUUUGGACAGUAGAAGCAGGUCUAGUCUGACUCUGCCAGUCCUCGCAUUAAGGAAUUCCUGGUGAAGUGAAGAAUGGCCUGGGUCCUCAGAUCGUCUUACAGAAAAGGUAGAAACUGAGGUCUGAGGACUUUGAGGAAAGUCAAGUGGCCUCCCCCUCCAGACUGGAGCGGUUACCACAGUGUGCUGAGUGGGGUGACCCUUCUAAGUGAAUUCUCCCAAUGACCGUCCCAGAUGAGGCAGUCUUAACUCUCCCAGUCACUCCCUGAGCUUCAGGAUCCCUGAUACAAGGUCAAGCCUGCAGUUGGCUCAAAGGUAAGUGACCCUCCCCUUUCUCCCAAAACCUUCUUCCAUCCUUCCACUCCCUGAGUGAUGCUUUUCCCCUCCUCUCCUGCCAGGGCCAGGCUGCCCCAGUUCAGAGAUGGCCCCAGCCGUGGCCUCACCAGCCAAUCACAGCUCCUCCUUAGUCACCAGAGAGAGCUUUGGCUUGGGUUUUCUGUUCAGAGCCUGUCUUAAGCCUGGCAGCCAGGCCUCCAUGGUCUAAGCCUUGGUUUCCUUGACAGCCAUGUCUCGCCUCUCUCCUAACGCCCCAGCCAUUGCCAAACUUGAUGGGGUUUUCCAGCCACCAUGCAUUUACUCAAGCUGGGUGCCCAUCCUACUUCCAUUGACCCUUCCUGCCAGCAUUGCCAAGCUUAGUUCAUGUGCUACCCAGCUCUCAACCUCUGAAUCCCACAGGGGCUCUGGUGUCUAAAUAGUUCACAUCUUGCAGACUUUUAGACUGCUUCCCCCAAGACUGAGUUCCUCAAAAGCAGGAACACAGUUGCCUCUCAAUAAACUUGUGCUGCAAAAAAAAUGAAUGAAUUGCUGUAAAUUUGUCUAGGGGUUCUUGAGGGCUCUCCACUUAACAGCCUGGAUCUCUGCUCCUCUCU